rnacentral:rRNA from 1 species
AUUGAACGCUGGCGGCAUGCUUUACACAUGCAAGUCGAACGGUAACAGGCCUUCGGGUGCUGACGAGUGGCGAACGGGUGCGUAAUACAUCGGAACGUACCCAGAGGUGGGGGAUAACGCAGCGAAAGCUGUGCUAAUACCGCAUGUGAUCUGAGGAUGAAAGCGGGGGACCGAGCAGCAAUGUUUGGCCUCGCGCCUUUGGAGCGGCCGAUGUCGGAUUAGCUAGUUGGUGGGGUAAAGGCCUACCAAGGCGACGAUCCGUAGCUGGUCUGAGAGGACGACCAGCCACACUGGGACUGAGACACGGCCCAGACUCCUACGGGAGGCAGCAGUGGGGAAUUUUGGACAAUGGGCGCAAACCUGAUCCAGCAAUGCCGCGUGCGGGAAGAAGGCCUUCGGGUUGUAAAACGCUUUUGGCAGGAACGAAACGGUGUCCGCUAAUACCGGGCGCUAAUGACGGUACCUGCAGAAUAAGCACCGGCUAACUACGUG